rnacentral:lncRNA from 1 species
AAUUAAAAUUGUCUUUAAGAUUUUCUUUUCCCUCUCUUCAGCAGCAGAAAGACUGAGAAACCCUCUCACUGGAGUGGCAGGAGCUGCUGGUUAAAACUGAGUGGAGCCCAGCUACCAGUCCCACAUCGUGACUUAGACGGAUAAUUAGUCAGGUUAUCUGAUAUAAUUACACAACAUUCAAGUGCAGGAGUGCAGGAAGAAGUGAUAAAAUCAAGAACAGCUUUAAUGAGGCCAGAAAAGGAAGAAAAACUGAGUCAACUCAGAGGAACUUCAAGGUCCUUUUGGUGCUAUUCAAGCAAAGAAAUGGGAAUACUGCUAAAACAGAAGAAGCUGGGCGGAGUCAGAAGGUUGAUUUGGAACUAGCAGAGCAUUCAGUGGUUUCAGCAGGGAGCCCUCAAGUUAGAUGGUGUCAGGAACACAUGGAGGAAUUUGGAUAUAUUUCCCAGUCAGAUUUUGGAUGAUGAUAAGGAAGCCUAGACCUUUCCUUCAGAGAUAAAUGCUGCCAUUCCAGUCUGGAUGUUCCCACUGCCCUAUUCCUACCUCACACUUCUACCUGCCUUUACCAGGAUAAGUAACAAGAGCAGCAGGUUAGGAGUCAGAACCAGAACCAGGACUUGAAUUCUGGCUCCACAACUCACUUCUUUAAGUGAAAUAAUUUCUUUGUUCCUUUUUAUCUCCCUGGCUAAAACAGGAAUAAAUUUUGCAUCAGGCU